rnacentral:sRNA from 1 species
AACUUUGGAAAACAUAAGAAAACUACAAAAUCACGGUCUAAAUCUUACAGUACUGAUGAUGAGGAAGACACACAGCAGAAUACUGGCAAGGAGGGUGGCCAGCUGUACAGAUUGGGUCGCCGAAGGAAAACCAUGAAGCUCUGCCGAGAACUCUCUGAUUUGGUUGUGUACACAAACUCCGUGGCCGCUCAGGACAUUGUGGAUGACGGAACCACAGGAAAUGUGUUAUCAUUCAGUGAAACAAGAGCACAUCAGGUUGUUCAGCAAAAAUCAGAGCAGUUCAUGAUUUAUAAUCAAAAGCAACUCACGAGGAUUUACCCCUCUGCCUACCGCAUUGAUUCCAGUAACUUCAACCCUCUCCCCUACUGGAACGCAGGCUGCCAGCUAGUGGCACUGAAUUAUCAAUCUGAAGGACGAAUGAUGCAGUUAAACCGAGCCAAAUUCAAGGCAAAUGGCAGUUGUGGCUAUGUCCUCAAACCCCAGCAAAUGUGCAAAGGUACUUUCAACCCUUUCUCUGGUGACCCUCUUCCUGCCAACCCCAAAAAGCAGCUCAUCCUAAAAGUUAUCAGUGGACAGCAACUCCCCAAACCUCCAGACUCCAUGUUUGGAGAUCGAGGCGAGAUCAUUGACCCUUUUGUUGAAGUUGAAAUUAUUGGAUUGCCAGUAGAUUGUUGUAAAGAUCAAACCCGUGUGGUAGAUGACAAUGGUAAGAUGGUAAUCUGUGUUCACUUCUUAAUGAAGAUGGUCU